rnacentral:rRNA from 1 species
GAUGCUUCAUUCAAAUAUCUGCCCUAUCAACUUUCGAUGGUAGAGUAGUGGUCUACCAUGGUUACGACGGGUAACGGGGAAUAAGGGUUCGAUUCCGGAGAGGGAGCCUGAGAAACGGCUACCACAUCUAAGGAAGGCAGCAGGCGCGCAAAUUACCCAAUCCCGACACGGGGAGGUAGUGACAAUAAAUAACAAUAUAGGGCCCUCUUGGGUCUUAUAAUUGGAAUGAGUACAAUUUAAAUCCCUUAACGAGGAUCAAUUGGAGGGCAAGUCUGGUGCCAGCAGCCGCGGUAAUUCCAGCUCCAAUAGCGUAUAUUAAGUUGCUGCAGUUAAAAAGCUCGUAGUUGGAUUUCUGACAUUAAUGCGUUUGGCCCGCUGCGGUUACGUAUGUGAGUGCCGAGUCGUGUUUGUCAUCCUUCUAGAAAAUGUUAAUUUGCUCUUCAUUGAGUAUAAUUAUACACGAUCUAGAUCUUUUACUUUGAAAAAAUUAGAGUGUUUAAAGCAGGC